rnacentral:rRNA from 1 species
GGCUCAGGACGAACGCUGGCGGCGUGCUUAACACAUGCAAGUCGAACGGUGAACCUGCUUCGGUGGGGGAUCAGUGGCGAACGGGUGAGUAACACGUGGGCAACCUGCCCUCAGCUCUGGGAUAACUCCAAGAAAUUGGGGCUAAUACCGGAUAUGACCGCUGACCGCAUGGUCUGGUGGUGGAAAGAUUUAUCGGCUGGGGAUGGGCCCGCGGCCUAUCAGCUUGUUGGUGGGGUAGUGGCCUACCAAGGCGACGACGGGUAGCCGGCCUGAGAGGGUGACCGGCCACACUGGGACUGAGACACGGCCCAGACUCCUACGGGAGGCAGCAGUGGGGAAUAUUGCGCAAUGGGCGAAAGCCUGACGCAGCGACGCCGCGUGGGGGAUGACGGCCUUCGGGUUGUAAACCUCUUUCAGCAGGGACGAAGCGAAAGUGACGGUA